rnacentral:rRNA from 1 species
AGUGAACGCUGGCGGUAGGCCUAACACAUGCAAGUCGAACGGCAGCACAGUAAGAGCUUGCUCUUACGGGUGGCGAGUGGCGGACGGGUGAGGAAUACAUCGGAAUCUACUUUUUCGUGGGGGAUAACGUAGGGAAACUUACGCUAAUACCGCAUACGACCUACGGGUGAAAGCAGGGGAUCUUCGGACCUUGCGCGAUUGAAUGAGCCGAUGUCGGAUUAGCUAGUUGGCGGGGUAAAGGCCCACCAAGGCGACGAUCCGUAGCUGGUCUGAGAGGAUGAUCAGCCAAACUGGAACUGAGACACGGUCCAGACUCCUACGGGAGGCAGCAGUGGGGAAUAUUGGACAAUGGGCGCAAGCCUGAUCCAGCCAUACCGCGUGGGUGAAGAAGGCCUUCGGGUUGUAAAGCCCUUUUGUUGGGAAAGAAAAGCAGCAGGUUAAUACCACGCUGUUCUGACGGUACCCAAAGAAUAAGCACCGGCUAACUUCGUG